GAUGUAUUUAUGGCAGGAACAGACACUGCAGCCUUAACGACCGAAUGGGCUCUAACCGAGUUGAUUAACCAUCCACAUGUAAUGGAGAGAGCAAGACAAGAGAUUGAUUCUGUGAUAUAUAGGAAAUGGUAGAAUAGUAGAAGAAUCAGACAUUGUCAACCUUUCUUACCUGCAAGCUGUAAUACCCCACGGGUCCAAUGAUUAUUAGAGAAUCAUCAGAAAGCUGCACCAUCUGGGGCUAUGAUAUUCCAGCAAAGACUUAGUUGUUUGUAAAUGUGUGGGCUAUUGGAAGGGACCCCAAUCACUGGGAGAACCCACUUGAGUUCAAACCAGAGAGGUUUAUUAGUGAAGAGGGAAGUGGGAAGGGUCAGAUAGAUGUGAGGGGGCAACAUUUUCACAUGAUUCCAUUUGGGAGUGGGAGAAGAGGGUGCCCUGAAUCCUCACUUGCUUUGCAGGUUGCGCAGGCAAACCUUGCUGCUAUGAUUCAAUGCUUUGAAUGGAAGGUUAAAGGAGGCAUUGGAACUGCUGACAUGGAAGAGAAACCAGGGUUAACUCUUUCAAGGGCUCAUCCAUUGAUUUGUGUCCCAGUGCCUAGGCUUAAUCCUUUUCCUAAUGUGAUUGUGAUCAUAUCAUCAUCAAUUUCACGAACCCUGACUCUGUUUUGUGCAAUAUGUACACAGGCAAGGUUUUUUCCAUUAACAAAAGAUUUAUCUUAUAAAAUUAAAAGUUUUGUGUCAGUAACCUAUAUCGACCAUCAAUGCAAACAUUUGUUACGUGUAUUACUAAUACUAAGAUAAAACUCUAAUUCUAGACAACAAUAAAAACACUUAAAAGAACUAGAUCUAACUUUUCUCCUUUCAUAGGGAUUAUAGCCUGUAUAAAGAAUAUCAUGGAAGUGACUUUCUCAAUAAAACCGGGUCUUAUGGUUUGACAAAAUAGGGAUGAUACUAAUGUGGUUUUUAGUGGAAUUGUGAUUUACAGGUUGCUAUAUUGAGUUCGGAAUACAAAAUUGAAGCCAUAUAGAUAUUUGUCAACUGACUUUUAAAAUCAACGUGCUAGAUAAAAGCCUAGAUGAAGUGUCAUUGUAACGAGUGAAUUUUAAAAUAUAUCCAUGAAAAAUUAUUGCUCAAACAAAAACAAUAAAAUAAUUAACACAAACCAAAGUAGACCUUACGUCACAUCAACUUGCGGUAGCCUCCAUUACUGACCAGUAUGGCAGUUCUCGAGUGAGUUCAGAGAACGGUUCUCUCUAUGUGUCUGUCAUGAAUGCUAGAUAUAUAUUUUCCCAUAUUAAUUAAUUUCCUAAGAGUCUAUCUCCUAUUAUACCCUUCGUCCCAAGUCUAUUUCCCAAACUCCUCAACUUUCCAAAAAAAGAGAAAAAUCAAGAUGGUGUAAUAAACAAUAUAUCAACUUUGAAAAUAUCACCACUCAUUGUUUGACUGAUGUUAGCUGGGCCACUAAAUCGAUGUCAUUAGUGUUGAAUUUGUGUUUGCUGGGCUGACGUUAAUCUAACAAUUUUUCAGUAAUAUAUAUUUUUUAUUUUUAGUUGUACUUGUAAUUAAGUUACACAUAAGGAUUUUAAGACCUGUCCAAGAAUAUUCAACUCAGUCAAGUAUAAUUUGGCUUCUUGGAUCAACCUUGGGGUUCUUACACAUAAUCUUCCUUCCUAGUCUAGCAACAAUUACUUUUGUCCUUAAUUUCUCAUAAAUCACUAUUAUGAAUAUCUUACAAUGGUUUUCCUGAGUAAUCAUUGCCACAAUGGGGGUAACAAAGGUGAUAUUGCUGAUGUGGAGGUGGGUCGUCCAAAGACCAACCAUUAAAGGAUGAAUGUAAAGACUUAUGGGACGGACAAAAACUGGUAAACAUGGGAUUAUAUAAUGAAAGUCUUGAUUUGUUUGGAUACAACCUACAAUAUAUAAUUAUUCUGCCUCAAGUGUGUAAGUAGUACCAAGAGGUUUGAAGUUUUGAGUUAAUUGGUGUACCACCGAUGCAAUAUAUAGUCCUUUAACCCCUCAAGUGCAUAAACAUGAAAAGAUUUAAGUUUUAGGUCAAUCAGCAUAUGAUGGGAGUGGUAUAGUGUCUUCUGGGCUUGAAUGUAUAAGCAACGAGAAACUUGAAAUUUUGCACUGAUCAAGGUACAACUGGUGCGGACCAACGUGAUAUAUUGUAACAAAACAUGAACAUGUUUUACAUAACUUAAAAUACUAUUUUUAAUAUGAACUAUAUAUAUAUAUAUAUAUAUAUAUAUAUAUAAAUAUAUAUAUAUAUAUAUAUAUAUAUAUAUAUAUAUAUAUAUCAAAUAAAUCCUCGUUAUGUAAACUUAAAAAUAGUAUAUAAAAAAAACCGUUCCAAGUAUACUAAUAAAGUAUAGAGCAUGUCAUCAAUAAAUGCUGAUUAUAAAUAUAAUAAUAAUAUAUGUCUAUAUUAAUCUAUCAUCCAUUUUGUCCAAUUCAGUUUCUCGGUAAAGGCUAGGCGGCGGAUUAUAUGAUCCUUAUCCUACAUUCACACCACACCAUAGAACUCCUUCUCCAAUUCCCUCCUCUGUCAAUUGUCAUAAAGUCAUAAACUACUCUUACUUUUCAAUACCUAAUCGAAGAGACUUUUUUUUUUUUUUGGAAUCGGUUUUAAAUAAUUAUUUAAAAGUAAUAAAUCAUAACAGCUCACACGACUUUGAGUUAGAAAUCUUAAUAUUAUUUUUUUUAACUAAAGUCACAAAAAUAUUUAUGACUUCUAUUAAUUUUUUUUACAACUUUAAAAUUAUAAUUUUUUUUUUACUGGUAAGACUUCAAAAUCGUAAAAAAAUAAUUUAUAACUUUAAAGUCCUAAAAUUCUUUUUUUUAAAAUAAAGUUGCUUAAGUUAAAAGUGUUUUUUUAAGUUUUAAUUAUUUUACCUUAGUUUAUUUUUUUUCUCUAAUUUUUUAAAAUUUUAAAAAAUUAUUUAUUUAAAUGUCAAAUACAUUAUUUUAAUUUUACUUAUUAAUAGUUUUAUUUAAUAUGGUGUAUAUUUUUAUGAUUUUAUUUUAUAUAUUAUUAAUUUAUUUUAAUGUUUUAUUAUUUUAAAUAUAUUAUAUAUUUUUAAUAUUAUUUCAUUUAAAUGUUUUAAUUUAUUUAAAAUUUAGAUAAUCUAUUAAUAAAAAUACAUCCUAAAAUUAAAAAGAGAUACUAAAAAUUUGAAACACUUCAAUUUAAAAAAUUGAUGAUAUUUAAAUGAAAAUUAUAUAUUUUUUUAAAAUUAAUAAUGAGAUGAUGUUCCUUGGAAGUGAAAACAUAUAACCUCAAUAUUUAGAUUUAUAUUUUAUGUUUGAUCCUUCAAAGCGAAUAUAGAUGUCGAGAAGACUAAUCACUACUCCAAUACAUAAUGAAGUGAACAAAUCAAUUCCAAAUAGGAUUAAGAAAUAUUGUAAAAGUGAAGGUGAUAGUCGUGUCCAUACAAAUAAGUACGUAAUUUAUAUAUUUUAAAUAAUAAAAUAUUAAAAUAAAUUAAUAACAUAUAAAAUAAAAACAUAAAAAAAUACACACCAUAUUAAAUAAAACUAUUAAUAAUCAAAAUUAAAAUUAUUCAUUUGACAUUUAAAUAAAUAAAUCUUUUUACAAUUUUAAAAAAUUAAAAAAACAAAACAAAAUAACCUAAAAAAACACUUUAAACUUAAACAAUUUUAUUUUAAAAAAAAUUACGACUUCAAAUCAUAAAAAAAAUAUGAAAAAAAUUAAUUACGAUUUUAAAAUCGUAAAAAAAAUUAACUGAAAUAGUAAAUUAAAAACUUCAGUUAAAAAAAUAAAAAUACAGACAACUUAAUGUAACACUAACCAGUAAUUAUUUAAAACCACGCCAUUUGGAAAAAUCGAAAAAAAAAAAGGGCCUGGUCAGUAUAAAAGCCAAUCGAAGACUGCUGUGCUUUCUGUCUGUCAUCAUCAUGAAUGUUUACUAUUUUACAAUCUUUAUUUGAAAGGUCCUCAACUGGUAAAAAGACAUUCAAGGUACUUGUUGUAGAUGAGAUCAUAUUCAAUACUAGUCUUUCUUAGUUUCUUUCUCUUACCUCACCAAAAAAACAAAAAGAUGAAUGGUCAGACUCGGAGGAUUUCUAUUUAGUAAAAAUCUUUCUUAGUUUCUUUCAUAUGCACUCCAUAGUUGAAGGUGGAAGCUAAGGUAUUAUUAUGGCUUAUCAAGUGUUGGUGAUUUGUGUGGUCUCCAGCAUAGUGUUUGCAUACAUAGUAUGGAGAAAAGAAAGGAAGAAAAAGCUUCCACCGAGUCCAAAGGGCCUUCCCAUCAUUGGGCACCUCCACCUUGUGUCCCCAAUACCCCACCAAGAUUUUUACAAGCUCUCACUCCGCCAUGGACCCAUCAUGCAACUUUUCCUCGGCUCAGUCCCUUGUGUGGUGGCUUCCACCGCGGAAGCCGCCAAAGAGUUCCUCAAAACCCACGAAAUCAACUUCUCCAACCGCCCCGGCCAAAACGUCGCCGUUCAGUUCUUAACCUACGUGUUUGGCCCUUACGGACCCUCCGUGAAGUUCAUCAAGAAACUUUGCAUGUCCGAACUCCUCGGUGGGCGCAUGCUGGACCAGUUCCUUCCUGUGAGACAGCAAGAGACAAAAAAAUUCAUCAAACGCGUCCUCCAAAAGGGUAUCGCUGGUGAAGCCGUUGACUUCGGAGGAGAGUUCAUGAGACUCUCCAACAACAUCAUUUCGAGAAUGACCAUGAACCAGACGAGUUCCGAGGACGAGAAACAGGCCGAAGAGAUGAGGAUGCUGGUGGCGGAUGUCGCAGAACUCAUGGGCACGUUCAACGUGUCGGACUUCAUUUGGUUCUUGAAGCCUUUUGAUUUGCAGGGGUUCAACAAGAGGAUCAGGAAAACGAGGAUCAGAUUCGACGCUGUCUUGGACAGAAUCAUCAAGCAGCGUGAAGAGGAAAGAAGGAACAACAAGGAAAUCGGUGGAACGCGUCAGUUUAAGGAUAUACUUGAUGUUUUGUUGGACAUAGGCGAAGAUGACAGUUCUGAAAUCAAAUUAACCAAAGAGAACAUUAAGGCCUUCAUCAUGGUAAGUAAAUGAAUUAUGCAAGUAUAUAUGCUGUUUUUUUCUUUCUUAUAACUUCACACUAAUUAUUUUAUUUGGACACUCAACCGUACAGAUAACAUGUUUUUCCCUGCCUUGUUACAUUAUAUCAACAUUCCCCUGUUUAGUCUCUGUCUCUUGGGUCCUGAUUAUCUUAUAUUCCACUCCAAAAUCGGACGGGUUAUGAUAUAUAGAGAGAGAAAAAAAAGGAUAGAUGUGAUAAAUAAUGUGAAAAAUAAAGAAAGAAAAAAGAGAGAGAAAAUAAAGUGGAAGUUAAAUGAAAGAUAAAAAGUUAAUAAAACUUGAUCAGGUCUCAUGUGAAAAUUGUUUGAGUGGAGGACCAUAUAAUAAGUGUCCAUCCUUCAUUUUCCUUUCAUGCAAACAUGACUAACAUGCACAUGUGUUGUUUCUAAUGACAUAUUUAGGAUAUAUUUGUUGCCGGGACUGACACGUCAGCUGCAACCAUGGAAUGGGCUAUGGCAGAGUUAAUCAACAAUCCAUGUGUGUUGGAGAAGGCAAGGCAAGAGAUAGAUGCAGUGGUUGGAAAUAGUAGAAUAAUAGAAGAAUCAGACAUUGUCAACCUUCCUUACCUACAAGCCAUUGUUAGAGAAACACUUAGGAUUCACCCAGGUGGUCCAUUGAUUGUUAGAGAGUCAUCAAAAAGUGUUGUGGUUUGUGGGUAUGAAAUUCCAGCCAAGACCCGAUUAUUUGUCAAUGUUUGGGCUAUUGG
rnacentral:lncRNA from 1 species